rnacentral:rRNA from 1 species
GACGAACGCUGGCGGCGUGCUUAACACAUGCAAGUCGAACGGAAAGGCCCUGCUUUUGUGGGGUGCUCGAGUGGCGAACGGGUGAGUAACACGUGAGUAACCUGCCCUUGACUUUGGGAUAACUUCAGGAAACUGGGGCUAAUACCGGAUAGGAGCUCCUGCUACAUGGUGGGGGUUGGAAAGUUUCGGCGGUUGGGGAUGGACUCGCGGCUUAUCAGCUUGUUGGUGGGGUAGUGGCUUACCAAGGCUUUGACGGGUAGCCGGCCUGAGAGGGUGACCGGCCACAUUGGGCCUGAGAUACGGCCCAGACUCCUACGGGAGGCAGCAGUGGGGAAUAUUGCACAAUGGGCGGAAGCCUGAUGCAGCAACGCCGCGUGCGGGAUGACGGCCUUCGGGUUGUAAACCGCUUUCGCCUGUGACGAAGCGUGAGUGACGGUAAUGGGUAAAGAAGCACCGGCUAACUACGUG